CGGACGGGGCCGCACAAGCAGUGGAGCAUUGUGGUUUAAUUCGACGCAACGCGAAGAACCUUACCUGGGCUUGACAUCCCGAUCGCACCUUAUGGAAACAUAGGGGUCAGUUCGGCUGGAUCGGUGACAGGUGCUGCAUGGCUGUCGUCAGCUCGUGUCGUGAGAUGUUGGGUUAAGUCCCGCAACGAGCGCAACCCUUGUCCUUAGUUGCCAGCAUUCAGUUGGGCACUCUAAGGAGACUGCCGGUGUCAAACCGGAGGAAGGUGGGGAUGACGUCAAGUCCUCAUGGCCCUUAUGUCCAGGGCUACACACGUGCUACAAUGGCCGGUACAAAGGGGCGCAAGACCGCGAGGUGGAGCAAAUCCCAAAAACCGGUCUCAGUUCGGAUUGGAGUCUGCAACUCGACUCCAUGAAGUUGGAAUCGCUAGUAAUCGCGGAUCAGCACGCCGCGGUGAAUACGUUCCCGGGCCUU
rnacentral:rRNA from 1 species